rnacentral:rRNA from 1 species
UGACUUGACUGGGCGGGUCCAACACCAGCCGGAUUCACCUUGUCUCUGGCAAGGGGUUCUGCCGGCUGUGAGGGGUGGCUGUUUAACUCACUUUAAGCAAUUAAUUCUGAAGACAGACCUACUGGCUGGCAUUGCUGGCUGUAGGCUGAAAAACUAUAGACAACUCUCAACAACGGAUAUCUUGGCUCCCGUAACGAUGAAGAACGCAGCGAAAUGCGAUACGUAGUGUGAAUUGCAGAAUUCCGUGAACCAUCGAAUCUUUGAACGCAAAUUGCGCUCGAGGCUUCGGCCAAGAGCAUGUCUGCCUCAGCGUCGGCUACUACCCUCAACUAAGUUUCCUUAUCAUUGAUAGGGGAUGCCAGUUGGAUCUGGCCGUCCGGUUUGCCUUUCAGGUUGCCGGUCAGCUGAAAUACAUUCACGCUCUGGGGGCUGCUUUCCUCGAAAGGCUACUUUCGAGGGGAGGUGAGUUCCGAUUUGGUAGGUGACCUUUGCCGGUUGCAUGCCUUCGUUGCCCGCUAAGCUUCCCAGUAGUCGUUGUGCAGGACGCCUUUUGGCUUUCGACCUGAGGUCAGGCAAGAACACCCGCUGAACUUAAGCAUAUCAAUAAGCGGAGGAAA